AUGGCCGACUCGCUGUGCUGUAGCACUCUGGUGGGCACCGUAAUGCCCCAGGAAGUGGGGAGCACCGGGCCCCAGCACUGCUGCUCCCGAGGCAGUCCUUCGAGGAAAGGGUCCUUCCCGUUUUGUGCUCGAGAAGUUGAGGCCCGCAUGGCCACGUGCCUGAGACGAUGCAUGGCUUCCUGGUGGCAUGCCACCAUUGUUCCUGUGUCCCAAGGCCUGGAGGAGCGGGCUGGGGGCUGGUCUGGCGGGAGUGCCUCCAGAGGGGCUGGGAGUCUGCCCUUCCUGGGGCUGGACCUGCUGGGAGUGGCCGUUGAGGGCCAGCGGCGACCGGGAUGGGGGCUGGACGUGGCUGUGAGGUGGCUGGUGGCUGUGCAAGUCCACUUCAGCCUGGAGCAGACUGUGCUGUGGAAACAGAGCAGUGUCUCCCAGGAGCCCACCCUGAUCAGCUGGGUUGGCCAGCUCCCGUGGCCUCCCCAGUACACUCAGGAUGCCUACAGGACACAACCACAGUGUGAAGGAGGAGCGCUGCCGGGAAGCAGCAGGAGGGUCUGUAAGCACUGCGAGUCCACGCAGAGCUCCGGGCUCACAGGACAGCUCUUCCAGAACUGUGUGGUGGACGUCGGCAGAGACACAGAAACCAUGGGAGCGCCCAACGGUCCCCAAGGCCCCAGAGCAGGCAGCGACUCGGGGGAGCCCAGGGACGCGCCAGGGCACCGCAUCACAGCUGGUACACACCAUGUGACAGGACCCGCCUGCAGACGUAAAAUCCGCCAGGUCCGGACAGAGAAGGUAACGCACUGGAGGUACCAAGUCUCCGUCCAGGCCCCCACCGUCUUCCCCUUGGCCACCUGCUGCAAGGGCACCGUGGCCAGUGCUGCGUCUACGACAGUGGGCUGCCUGGUCACUGGCUACUUCCCGACGCCUGUGACAGUGACCUGGGAUGCAGGGUCCCUGAAUAAGAGCAUCGUGACCCUCCCCGCCACCCUCCAGGAGACCUCUGGCCUCUACACCACCACCAGCCACAUGACCGUCUCAGGCGAGUGGGCCAAACAGAAGUUCACCUGCAGCGUGACUCACGCUGAGUCCCCCACCAUCAACAAGACCUUCAGCGCAUGCGCCAUGAACUUCAUCCCACCCACCGUGAAGCUGUUCCACUCCUCGUGCGACCCCCUCGGUAACACCGGCACCACCAUCCAGCUCCUGUGCCUCAUCUCCGGCUACGGCCCUGCUGACAUGGAGGUCACCUGGCUGGUGGACGGGCAGAAGGCCACAAACCUAUUCCCAUACACUGCCCCCAGCAAGCAGGAGGGCAAGGUGAUCUCCACCCACAGCGAGCUCAACAUCACACAGGGCGAGUGGGUGGCCCAGAAAACCUACACCUGCCAGGUCACCUACCAAGGCUUCACCUUUGAGGACAACGCUCGCAAGUGCACAGAGUCAGACCCCCGAGGCGUGAGCACCUACCUGAGCCCGCCCAGCCCUCUUGACCUGUACGUCCACAAGUCGCCCAAGAUCACCUGCCUGGUGGUGGACCUGGCCAGCAUCGAGGGCAUGACCCUGAGCUGGGCCCGGGAGAGCGGGUUGCCGGUGCACCCAGACCCAAUGGUCAAUAAGACUCAGUACAACGGGACGAUCACCGUCACGUCCACCCUGCCGGUGGACGCCACUGACUGGGUCGAGGGGGAGACCUACCAGUGCAAGGUGACCCACCCUGACCUGCCCAAGGACAUCGUGCGCUCCAUCUCCAAAGCCCCCGGUCGGCGUGUCCCCCCGGAGGUGUACGUGUUCCUGCCGCCCGAGGGGGAGCCAAAGUCUAAGGACAAAGUCACCCUCACGUGCCUGAUCCAGAACUUCUUCCCCCCGGACAUCUCGGUGCAAUGGCUUCGAAAUGACAGCCCCGUGCGGACGGAACAGCAGGCCACCACCGGGCCUCUCAAGGCCACUGGCCCCAGCCCUGCCUUCUUUGUCUUCAGCCGCCUCGAGGUUAGCCGGGCAGACUGGGAGCAGAGGAAUGUGUUUGCCUGCGAAGUGGUGCACGAGGCGCUGCCCGGCUCUAGGACGAUCAAGAAAUCCGUGUCUGAAAACCCCGAGCUGGACCUCCAGGACCUGUGCGCAGACGCCACCGAGAGCGACGAGCUGGACGAGCUGUGGACCAGCCUGCUGGUCUUCGUCACCCUGUUCCUGCUCAGCGUGAGCUACGGGGCCGCCGCCACCCUCCUCAAGGUGAAGUCCGUACUUGCAACCAUCCUGCAGAAGCCACAGACCUUCCAGGACUAUGCAAACAUCAUGCGGCCAGCAGAGUAG